UUAUUUCAUCUCCGCUUUUCUUCAUCUUCAAUCUUGUCUGUGGAAUAGGCGUUUCCCAUCGUUUCCGCCACCGGAAACGAUGGGAAACCCUAUUCCACAGACAAAUUGAAGAUGAAGAAAAGCGGAGAUGAAAAUAA
rnacentral:pre_miRNA from 12 species